GACCAAUCAGAUGGCUCUGUGGUCAGGUUCUGACCAAUCAGAUGGCUCUGUGGUCAGGUUCUGGCCAAUCAGAUGGCUCUGUGGUCAGGUUCUGACCAAUCAGAUGCCUCUGUGGUCAGGUUCUGGCCAAUCAGAUGGCUCUGUGGUCAGGUUCUGGCCAAUCAGAUGGCUCUGUGGUCAGGUUCUGGCCAAUCAGAUGGCUCUGUGGUCAGGUUCUGGCCAAUCAGAUGGCUCUGUGGUCAGGUUCUGGCCAAUCAGAUGCCUCUGUGGUGGUGUUGUGACUACUGCUGUCUCAGUACUCCUGGAGGACCCCUGGUGUUUCUGAUAGAUUAACUUCCGUCCAGCCCGGGAUUCAAUCAAAGGCGCAUUGUGGAUUAUUAGCACACCAAAUUAGACUGUUCAAUCUAAUGUAGACUUCAGCUGACAUCCGCAGCGUUUACCAUGAAUACCAUCUCCACGAAGGUCAGAGAAAUGACCUGCUUAAAGGUGCAUUGUGGACAGUGCGCCUUUGGUUGAAUCCCAGCCACGGUCUCAUUCAGACCUGGGACACCAAAUCAUGUAUCAAAUACAUGUCCCAAAAUGGCACCCUAUUCCCUACAUAGUGCACUCCUUUUGACCAGAAUAGCACCCUAUUCCCGAUAUAGUGCACUACAUUUGACCAGAGCCCUAAAAGUAGUCACAGUAUAGGAAAUAGGGAGCAAUUUUGGACAUCAUCAGUGCUUCAAUCCCAAAUGGCUCACUAUGUAGUCUACUACCUUUGACCAGAGGCCAUAGGGGAAUAGGAGGCCAUAGGGGAAUAGGAGGCCAUAGGGGAAUAGGAGGCCAUAGGGGAAUAGGAGGCCAUAGGGGAAUAGGAAGCAUUUGGGAGGCCAUAGGGGAAUAGGAGGCCAUAGGGGAAUAGGAGGCAUUUGGGAGGCCAUAGGGGAAUAGGAGGCCAUAGGGGAAUAGGAGGCCAUUCAGUGUCUGUCAGCCCUCCAGGUCUAGUUUGACCUUACAUCUCCCUGGUUAAAUGGAACUGGAUUCGUCACUCACUGCUUCUCAAUGUUUUAUGGAGUGUAUGUAUAUUAUUAUAUGAUCACAUUUUAAAACAACUGAUGUGUUGACCUCUAAGUACCCUGUGAACUGUUUGUGUUGAGAAAAAAAUUAAAAUAAAUAGAUUUAUGUAAAAUUUGA
rnacentral:lncRNA from 1 species